GUUUUUCACUCGUGCCAAUCAUUUCCUUAUUUACGGAUUGAUUGGCAAUCACCCGGUCAUGAUACGAUUCGGUUUCCGAAAUUACGAGACCUCCGGGGUACUAUAUAAACCACACCUUGCCCAUUGUUCAACACACCUCACACCACCACAGCCGUUCGAACCUCAGAAACACUUGCCGGAAGCCGGAGAUUUCAAACCGAUAACUCGACACCUUCUUCUGUUUCGAUAAACAACCCACCGUCCCUACUCGCCGAAACCGCUCUUGUCAUCCUCGCCGGAGAAGGAGACCGGAGAACUCCGGAGUCGCCGGUGACAAGCCAACCGUCGGAGCCCUUGGAACUCGCCGGAGAAGACGACUCGUCCGGGUAAAUCUCUUGUGCAACGACACUUGGAACGAUCCUCAUAUUCUCUUUACAAGAAUCGCAACGCAAUCACUGUUGAUUGAUCAAGAUACAAGAAAACAAGCUAGGAUGGCUUAGAAACUCAUUCUAGAAAUAAGCUAUUGUUUGAAUUUAUAUUUGAUUGUUUGAAACUUUGUAUUAUCCUUUAGAAUUUAAUAAAAUGAUUUAAUUUAUAUUGUC